rnacentral:rRNA from 1 species
UACAGAGGUCUCAAGCGUUGUUCGGAUUCAUUGGGCGUAAAGGGUGCGUAGGCGGCGCGGUAAGUCGGGUGUGAAAUUUCGAGGCUUAACUUCGAAACUGCAUUCGAUACUGCCGUGCUUGAGGACUGGAGAGGAGACUGGAAUUUACGGUGUAGCGGUGAAAAUGCGUAGAUAUCGUAAGGAAGACCAGUGGCGAAGGCGGGUCUCUGGACAGUUCCUACGCUGAGGCACGAAGGCCAGGGGGAGCAAAACGGGG